rnacentral:lncRNA from 1 species
UCAAAUAUUUGUCUAUGAGGUCUGUUUAAUACAAAACUCCUAUUAGAUUCAAUAGGAUCUAUUGAAUAAAAACAUUGUUUAGCUUGUUCGGCAAAAAUCAACGGUUCUUCCCCGUAUUUUGGCAUAGACGUUUUCACACUAACCAGACCGAACUCGUCUUUUUUAUAUCCUUCGUACCAUUUACAGUGAAACAUGGGAUAUUUUAACAUAUCGUGUCCGUAACAUACUUCGAAAACUUUGUGAAGAGUUCCAUGGUACGAAAGAUCAUCAAUUUUCGGAUCGUCAUUUGGAUUCUUUAAGUAUGUG